ACGAACGCUGGCGGCGUGCUUAACCCAUGCAAGUCGAACGGAAAGGCCCUGCUUUUGUGGGGUGCUCGAGUGGCGAACGGGUGAGUAACACGUGAGUAACCUGCCCUUGACUUUGGGAUAACUUCAGGAAACUGGGGCUAAUACCGGAUAGGAGCUCCUGCUGCAUGGUGGGGGUUGGAAAGUUUCGGCGGUUGGGGAUGGACUCGCGGCUUAUCAGCUUGUUGGUGGGGUAGUGGCUUACCAAGGCUUUGACGGGUAGCCGGCCUGAGAGGGUGACCGGCCACAUUGGGACUGAGAUACGGCCCAGACUCCUACGGGAGGCAGCAGUGGGGAAUAUUGCACAAUGGACGGAAGCCUGAUGCAGCAACGCCGCGUGCGGGAUGACGGCCUUCGGGCUGUAAACCGCUUUCGCCUGUGACGAAGCGUGAGUGACGGUAAUGGGUAAAGAAGCACCGGCUAACUACGUG
rnacentral:rRNA from 1 species